rnacentral:tRNA from 2 species
CGGGUCGUAGCUCAAGUGGUGGAGCACGGCAAAAGCGUUGCCGAGGAGCCUGGUUCAAGUCCGGCCGGCCCGACCA